rnacentral:misc_RNA from 1 species
AACACUGCCAAAUCAUUGCCAACAGAAUAGAGUGUCAUGGUGCCUAUAUUGUAAAAGACAUUCUAUUUUUUUUACUCUCUUUGAAGAUCUAAGAUUCCAUUUAAUGAAAGUUUGGUUUUGAAUGUAACACAAAUACAGGUAGUUUUUUUCCCCAUUUUUGACCGCACGUUUUGGUAAAAUACUGGUCCAUGUAUUAGUUUAAUUGAUUACAUGAAGACUGAAACAGCAGAAAUUCCAAUAAGCAAUAGAUUGUUAAUUAACAAAAAUAGAUUUAACUGUGAGAGUAAGUGCAAAUGUGUAAUGCUCAUUAAUUAGAAAUUUUAUUUACUGUAUGGUUUUAGGGAUAAAAGGAAUCAUUUUUAAUCUGGAUUUUUUUCAUUUUUUGGAACACUGGAAAUGACACGUGAUCUGAAAACUUUUAUUUGUUCAACUUGCUGAUGUACAGUAAAUAAGUAUUACAACGAAGUCACAAAAUAAUACAGUUUAUCAUGCAUCUGUAUAUAAUUUUUCUUAUUACCAGGAAAAAUAAAAUAAAAUGUAAAA